AACAUGUGUGCUAUCAUGUUACCCUAAGCAAGUUAUCUAAAUUUUGUUUUACACAUGCAAUGACGAAUUUUUAAUGUCAUUUAUACCGCCGUUUUUGUGGGUGUGUGAGAGAUUUUGGAAAUUUUUGUUUGUUUGUUCGGAUUGAGGUAUGCAGGCUGAUGAGACGACGGCGAUGGUGGUGGUAGUAGAGGAAGCAGAGUGCCCUCCCUUUGAAACCCAAAUUCCUACUAACUAAACACCAGUUUAACCCAAAUCGGAGUUGAACUCGCCGUUAACUUUCUAUUUUCUUCUUCACUUCCAACAACUUUUGCUCAACACACAAUUUCCUUUAAAGGAUUUCAGCAGAGAAAAAGGGAAGCUUUCUAAUGGAGGAAGAAAAAGAGUUGAAGAAAGAGAAGAAAAACAUCCCUGUAUUGCCAUGGAUGAGAAAUCCAAUUGACAUUACUACCUUUGAUCAAUGUUCUCUUGAUCUUUUGCCUUUUAUUGACCCCAGGUUAGUGGCGGCUUUGAAGAAUAUGAGCAUCACUUCACUCUUUCCUGUGCAACUUGCUGUCUGGCAAGAGACAAUUGGACCUGGCUCUUUUGAAAGAGACCUUUGUAUAAAUUCACCUACAGGGAGCGGGAAAACUCUUGCUUAUGCAUUACCAAUUGUUCAGAUGCUGUCUACACGUGCCGUAAAAUGUCUUCGUGCACUAGUGGUCUUGCCUACUAGAGACCUCGCUUUGCAGGUCAAAGAGGUCUUCUCUGCUAUUGCACCUGCAGUAGGUUUGUCUGUAGGCUUGGCAGUUGGUCAGUCAUCAAUUUCUGAUGAAAUUUCUGAGCUCAUCAAGAAACCCAAUGUUGAUUAUGGCAUAUGUUAUGAUCCUGAAGAAUCCUCAUACGAGUUACAAAGCGCAGUAGAUAUAUUAGUGGCAACUCCUGGAAGACUGAUGGACCACAUCAGUAACACUGAUGGUUUUACCCUUGAACAUCUAUGUUAUCUUGUUGUUGACGAAACAGAUAGGUUAUUAAGGGAAGCUUAUCAGGCCUGGCUUCCUACCGUCAUUCAGUUGACCAGCUCUUCUAUUGAUGGGAACUUCCCUUCUGUUGAUGAUCUUCUUCCUUGCACUUAUGGUUCAUUGAAGACAAUCAGAAGAGUGGGCACAGAAAGAGGGUUCAAGGGAAAAGCCUAUCCAAGGCUUGCGAAGAUGGUUUUAUCAGCCACACUAACACAGGACCCAAGUAAGCUCGCUCAGCUUGAUUUACAUCAUCCUCUUCUUUUGACGACUGGAGAAAGACGUUACAAGCUUCCCGAAGAACUCAAAUCAUUUAAAUUGCUAUGUCAAUCGAAGCUUAAGCCACUUUAUCUAGUUUCUCUUCUUCAAAGUCUGCAAGGGGAGAAAUCAAUUGUUUUCACAUCAUCUGUGGAGUCCACUCAUAGAUUAUGCACCUUGCUUAAGUUUUUCGACAAUAUGCAAAUUGAGUUCAAGGAAUAUUCUCGUCUUCAACGUCAAUCUGUAAGAAGCAAGACGUUGAGGGCUUUCCGGUCGGGACAAGUGCAAGUGCUUAUUUCCUCUGAUGCUAUGACUCGUGGAAUGGAUGUUGAAGGAGUGAAAAAUGUCAUAAACUAUGAUAUGCCUGCAUAUAUAAAAACAUUUAUUCAUCGAGCAGGUCGAACUGCAAGAGCAGGCCAAAGUGGAUGUUGCUUUACGUUAAUGCAUAAAGAUGAGAUUAAGCGUUUCAAGAAGAUGUUACAAAAAGCUGACUGUAACUCUUGCCCAACCUAUUCUGUUUCUUCUGAAGUGAUAGAGUCACUCCGCUCUGUGUACACCUCAGCUUUGGAGAAACUAAGAGAGAAUGUUGAAUCAGAAAAGUUUAAGAAAAGCAAGAUUAGAUUGAAGUCAUCGAAUGUGAGAAAGGAGAAGUGAAAAGCUGCCCACUGCAAUAACUUCCAUUUUCCUAGACAAUGUAGUGCUCAGUUGCUAACCAGUUUAUGAUUAUUCCAUGGUUCAACUUGAGCUGCUCUGGAUUUAGUAUUGCCAUUUAGUUAAGGCGUAAGCUGAUAAUUUAUGAAGCUACCAGAUUCCAUUAGAUCCAUUUUGGUUCUAUGGGAGAGGAAGAGUCUCAAAGAAAAACUAGGAGGAGGGAGAAGACGCGAGAGUCGGGUAUAUUGAAGUAGGAGGGUCAACUGAUUCGCACAUUAGAAUUAAGUCUCUUGUUGUUUGGGAGGAAAGCACUUAAUUAGAACAAAAGAAAGAAGAGCUGCAUGGCAACCGGUUUAAAGAAGAGCUGCAUGGCAACCAGUUUAAAGAAGAGCUGCAUGGCAACCAGUUUAUCAUAUAUGGUAGGAAAGAGGAGCAAUAGGUUCUUUUGAUGUAAAGCUGUUCAAUUGUUUGUAUUAAAUAUGAAUUUUUCGACAUUCUUGUGUUCUGGUCUAAAUAGGUGUAGCUGAGUUAACUGAGCUAUAGCAUUUAUUUUAAGUUUGUAUAGUACUUCCUUAGUGCUUGUUUGUGGAAUAAAAU